CUUCUAGUAGAUCACAGCUGUGUCUUGAUUAUAUCCUAUUACCAUCUCUACCUCCCAUUCAUUUAAUGAAAAUUAAUUCUCACCUACCGUUUCACCGCAUGGGUGCCACUAAAUCAAGAUGACCCACUAUAUAUAUAAUGAGUAGCUGCAGAUACUUGUAAUUAUAAUCACUUUGAAAAAAUCCUUUUAUUUUCUUCGAAAAUGAAAUUUCAGAAUCAAUCAUGUAUUGUUGAAUGCGAUAUCACUAAAGAUGUUGAAAAAACUCGCUCAAGGCUGGCUUGAACACAGUUUUUGGGGAAAAGCUUGCAUGCAUCAGAUUGGCCCAGCAAAAAAAAAUGGUGGGGAAAAAGAUCACCGAAACUUAAUUGAGCUUUGUUUGGGUGAAAAUGCGGCUCAAAAGAUAAAAAUAAAUUGUGGUCUUGGAGGUUCAAUGCUACUUGUAUUCGUGUUGGACAGGUUGUUUUCCCUUUUCUAUGAAAGUUGAUUUUUCUUAAUUUCAUCUAUCUCUUCUAUGAUGCUCAUAAUAGUAAUUUUGAUAUUUUUGUUAUGGCUGUUCUCCUUGUUGAGCGUUGAUUUGAGCAUAGAUGCUGCUCAGGAGAUGAAAAGGGAUUCUGAACUUCAAUAAGAGAUUUUGAUAUCUAAUGCCAGUUGUGUUCGCUCUGAACAGAUCUGUGGAGCUCUGAUGCUGUUGGAGACGUGUUAUUCCUUUUUUCAAGUUAUGUUAAGUUUCCUUUUCUCUCUCUCUCUUUUAUGAUGCUGUUUUAUGAUGCUGUUGGUAUUCUUAUGUUAAUUUAAGUGAGGAUCUUGCUGAUUAAAUGAAAAUAAGAGAUCAGAUUUGGAUUUCUAAUUCUACUUGUCAAUUGGUUUUUAAAAAUGUGUUUUCCAUUUAUAUUAUUUUAUCAAUUGAAAAUGAUAUAAAGCACAGAGGCAGAAACGAAGAAUCCUUCUAAUGUAAGGCUUGCCAAAAUUUGUUGGUAUAGAGAAAGACAACUAUGAUAUGGUCCCAUGAUAUAAAGUUUUAACAUGUAUGCAAUAUAGUUAUGCAGAGGUUUAAAUUAAAUAGCCAUCAUCUUUUAUAUUUUAAAGUAACUCUUGAAGAAUGAGUAGCCAUCAUCUUUUAUAUUUUAAAGUAACUCUUGAAGAAUUAGUUGUUAGCGCAAUGUAUCUUCUCUCUUGUUUUCCAUAAAUUAUCCGUGUGUUUGAUCAUCGUUGCUCUAAAUUGUUGUGCAGCUUAGGAAGUUACCAAACCAACUAUACUCAAGAUCUGCGAAAUGUAUUGUUUGUAGUGUCAGUGCGAGGAUGGCUUUGUCUUUUACAUGUGAAACACAGCUUGAACCGGAAAAUAAUUCAGGGGCAUAUAUACAGCAAGAUGCAGAAUAAGGAAAAAGGAUACACCCUAUUGUACACUUCGAUAUAAGCAUUCAUGACCAUGGAGACAUUUUGUGCAUAGUCAACUUCAGAUAUAAUUUGUGGCUCAACCACCUCGAGGUGCUCUAAAUGUGUAAAUGCGUUGACUGUUGAAACCAUCAUAAUUUAGAAACCCGAUGAAUUUACUUCCAAAUGCGUGUGAACAAAAUAAACAUGAAAUUGGAUUUAUGGGUGAUAGUGUAUGUAAAAGCCAAUGCUGCAGCAUCCUUGGCUAUGCAAUAUAAUGUAUCGUCUUUGUCAGCUAACCUUUUUUAUUGUAUCAACUUGAUCGGUUAUGCCAUUUGAAACUUUCAAAGAUUAUGCCAUUCAAAUGACUAUCCUUUUUGCAAGUACUUUACUCUUGGUUUGACACUCCUUCUGAAAUAUUUCUAAUUUCAUUAUAAAGCUUUACCCCUGAUUUGACCCUCAUUCUGAAACAUUUCUACUUUCAUUAUAAAACUUUUAGGGUUUAUGCGUAUAACAUACGAUAGCUGUACCCAUAUUCUAUCUGAAAAAAAAAUAUUUAUAUUUCUUGUCACUUAGUCGAGCAAUUAGUAGAUAUAUUAUUUUAUUCAAGUUAUCCAAUUUCUUUAUGCCUUUAGAUCCUUUGCUUUUUCGUUUCUACUUAUUAGUGAAACCUGUUGAACUAUCUCUAAAAAUCAUAUAUGGGGUCUUUCAUCAUUGUAAUUGUCGAGAAGAAUUUUUUAACUUAAUCUGUAUAAGGAUCCAUCAACUUUAUCUUACUGAAUGAGGAUCAUAUCUUAUUUGAAAGACAUCCCUUUAUGGACCUUGUCAUAAAAAGAUGUUAAAAACCAAUAUAAUCUUCUAUUUCAUUUACGUAGCAUUUUUUAUUAUUAAAAUUUUUUUCAGCACAAUAAUAAGCCAUAUCUAAAGAAUGGAGUUUAAUUAAUAGUUUCUAUUACUUUUUCAUAAAUUGAAUUCCCAUUCAAAAACCAAUCUGCUUUUCUAUGUUAUUUACCUUGCAAUUUGAGAAACACAUUUUAGAUAUGGCUUUAGAUAUAGCUUCUCCAAGGUUGAAAAUCAUUUUGCACCAUAAUUAUACAUGGUUAAAGAAUGAAGUUUAAUUAAUAGUUUUUUGUCCUUUGUACACCAUUCUAUAACUCGCGUUAACUAUUAUGAAUAGGCUUCCCAAGCAUCACACAAAUGAGAAAUAAACUCUAAAGAAAAGUGAUAUUUUGGAUUACUUGACUAUAUCAAUAGUCGUCGUCAAUAUGUAAAUAGUCCUUGUAAAUUAGAAACUCCCAUUUAGGAGGUUAGUUGUAUUUAAUAUAAUGUCAAAUUUGUGUUAACUUAUAAUCCAUCACGUAAAAAAUAAGUUCUAACAUCAAUUUCUCUGUGUUCCAAUUUUGUAAGGUAUUACUCAUCAUGGAUUAUGUUUAAGACAUAUAUUUUCAUACACCAUAACAUAAUAUUAUAAAUCAUAUAUAAUAUAAGUCUCAUUCAAAAUAUAUUCACGAUAAUACAUUGUUUUUUGGAUAUCAUUGCACAUAAGCAAGUCUUCUGAUCCCCAAACAUAGAACAUCUUCCAAAACAAAUAGUCUAUGGUUAAACAAAUACAAUCAAUAUUAAAUAGCUUUGUCAACUUUAGUUAAUACUUAAUUAUCCGCCUCAGAUGUUUGAGACUUUAGUUUUUUCCCUCCCUUUCGGGUGAACCUAUUUGUUGAAAGCUGGCAUUCUUCAUCAACAACCGAACCAUACUUCAAACUGCCGGCAAUUCUUUUAGCUGGUGUUUUGUAUUUGAGACUUUCAACACAGUCUUCCAUAGAAUCCUACACAAAGACAUGCAUAACAGUUCAUUUAGAAUAAUUUCAGAACCUAAAUCACGUUUUUUUAUAUAUUCAAAACACGUGCAUAUACUUACCACAGUAAGCUGAGGAUCAUUAUCAUUCUUAAGAUUAACAACAUGUCCGGACAUCUCCAGCGUGUUGCUACCUCUAUUCUCCUAUUUAAAGUGAAACCCUACUCGUAAUUAGAUAUUAAUGUACAUUUUGAUAAAAAAAAAA